CCUACGGGGUGCUGCAGUGGGGAAUAUUGGACAAUGGGCGAAAGCCUGAUCCAGCCAUGCCGCGUGUGUGAAGAAGGCCUUCGGGUUGUAAAGCACUUUCAGUGGGGAAGAAAGCCUUGGGGCUAAUACCCUCGAGGAAGGACAUCACCCACAGAAGAAGCACCGGUUAACUCCGUGCCAGCAGCCGCGGUAAUACGGAGGGUGCGAGCGUUAAUCGGAAUUACUGGGCGUAAAGCGCGCGUAGGCGGUCUGAUAAGCCGGUUGUGAAAGCCCCGGGCUCAACCUGGGAACGGCAUCCGGAACUGUCAGGCUAGAGUGCAGGAGAGGAAGGUAGAAUUCCCGGUGUAGCGGUGAAAUGCGUAGAGAUCGGGAGGAAUACCAGUGGCGAAGGCGGCCUUCUGGACUGACACUGACGCUGAGGUGCGAAAGCGUGGGUAGCAAACAGGAUUAGAUACCCCUGUAGUC
rnacentral:rRNA from 1 species